UACGGAGGGGGCAAGCGUUGUUCGGAAUUACUGGGCGUAAAGCGCACGUAGGCGGGUCGUUAAGUCAGGGGUGAAAUCCCAGAGCUCAACUCUGGAACUGCCUUUGAUACUGGCGACCUAGAGUCCGGAAGAGGUUAGUGGAAUUCCCAGUGUAGAGGUGAAAUUCGUAGAUAUUGGGAAGAACACCAGUGGCGAAGGCGGCUAACUGGUCCGGUACUGACGCUGAGGUGCGAAAGCGUGGGGAGCAAACAGG
rnacentral:rRNA from 1 species